AGAUCGUUUUGAGGGCAAUUUCGAAGUAGUCCCUUGUAGCGAUCCCUUGCUUCAAAUAGCAACUCACCCAUUUGUUACUCAAAGUUGGCUAUGGCCUUUUUGAGUUU